rnacentral:rRNA from 1 species
GAUGAACGCUGGCGGCGUGCCUAAUACAUGCAAGUCGAGCGAACAGACGAGGAGCUUGCUCCUCUGAUGUUAGCGGCGGACGGGUGAGUAACACGUGGAUAACCUACCUAUAAGACGGGGAUAACUUCGGGAAACCGGAGCUAAUACCGGAGAACAUGCUGAACCGCAGGGUGGAACAGUGAAAGACGGUCUUGCUGGCACUUAUAGAUGGAUCCGCGCCGCAUUAGCUGGUUGGUAAGGUAACGGCUUACCAAGGCAACGAUGCGUAGCCGACCUGAGAGGGGGAUCGGCCACACUGGAACUGGGACACGGUCCAGACUCCUACGGGAGGCAGCAGUAGGGAAUCUUCCGCAGAGGGCGAAAGCCUGACGGAGCAACGCCGCGUGAGUGAAGAAGGUCUUCGGAUCGUAAAACUCUGUUAUUAGGGAAGAACAAAUGUGUAAGUAACUAUGCACGUCUUGACGGUACCUAAUCAGAAAGCCACGGCUAACUACGUG